CAGUAAAUAGUUUAUUUAAAAUAUUAAUUUUGGAGAUUAAAGAUAUUAAUUUAAUUUUACUGA
rnacentral:tRNA from 1 species